CCUACGGGUGACAGCAGUGAGGAAUAUUGGUCAAUGGACGGAAGUCUGAACCAGCCAUGCCGCGUGCCGGAAGACGGCUCUAUGAGUUGUAAACUGCUUUUGUACAAGGGUAAACCUGAAUACGUGUAUUCAGCUGAAAGUACUGUACGAAUAAGGAUCGGCUAACUCCGUGCCAGCAGCCGCGGUAAUACGGAGGAUCCAAGCGUUAUCCGGAUUUAUUGGGUUUAAAGGGUGCGUAGGCGGAUUGAUAAGUUAGAGGUGAAAUGUCCGAGCUUAACUCGGGAACUGCCUCUAAUACUGUUGGUCUAGAGAGUAGAUGCGGUAGGCGGAAUGUAUGGUGUAGCGGUGAAAUGCUUAGAGAUCAUACAGAACACCGAUUGCGAAGGCAGCUUACCAAUCUAUAUCUGACGUUGAGGCACGAAAGCGUGGGGAGCAAACAGGAUUAGAUACCCCAGUAGUC
rnacentral:rRNA from 1 species